rnacentral:lncRNA from 7 species
UAGGUGCAUGGGCAGUGCAUGUGCUAAACCCAGGGUGAUCCCUCUCCACAUCUGUCUGUAUGGAUGAAUAUCUGGUUUCUGGAAUACAAGAAUAUGGUCAAGUGACUGGAUCUCUUCAAACUGAGGGAACUAAGAAUAUUUCUGCAGCAGAGUCAUCAUUUGGCUCCAAACAACAAAAAGAAUAUUUAUUCAGCCUUGGGGCAUAAUAUAAUCUAAAGAGGGACAAGUGAUAUUUCAGAAGUCUGGGAGCACUGCAUACUGCACCAGAGCUGAGGAAGAAGCUGUUUGUCAUCAGCCUCUGCAGAACAUUGCCAUUAGGUCUGGUAACACUGGCACAUUUAUCACACUGGCAAAUUCUUCCUGUCAUCACUAGAUACCAUUCAACUUCAUUUUAAUGUGUUCUUUUCACUCUACUCUAAAUAAACAUAACAUCAGUUUUGAGAUGCUGCUUUUCUUGUUAAGAAAAAUAUGGCCCAAUUACACCUCUCUAGAAAUACCUGGAAUACCUUUGACAAAUACACCUCUGUUUAUCAGAGGGACUACCAUCUUCCAAUAAAAAAUAUUUCAAAGCCAUAGCAAAAAGUUUAGUCUAGUUGACUUUACUUAUAGAAAGUAUUUAGUGAGAUGGUGAAUUAAAAGGUCCCUUAUUGCAUGCCAUUUGGGUCUGGGCUUUCUUGUGGUAUUCCAGAGUAUUCAUUAGCUGGGGAGAUAAGAUUUACAGAGAAGUCUUGGAACUAAUGGAAAUAAUCUUUGCUGUGGAUGGACUAAAAAGUUAGCAUUCUCUGAUGGAUUACUGAACUCUCUCUACCUUCUUCUUAUCUGUAUUUUGUUAGGUGGUGAUUCCAGCUAAGGUAUGCAGGUUCAUUUCAGACCACAUAGGUGAGAGCUGAUGUUAGAAAUGAUUGGUAAAGAGACAGCAGAUAAACUCUUGUGUUUAAAUGCCCUUUGUAACUUGUUUAUUUAUUUAUUUAUUUUUCCUUGGGAAUCAGUUGGGAAAAGUUCUCCCACAAUUCACUGUGUCAAAAGUAUUGGGGCACCUGUUCCCAAUCGCAGAAGGGCUGAGGAGACAGGUGGAGGUGUUGCUGCAGGAACCCCAUCUGCUCCCAGAUGUGGACCUCCCUGGGCAGCUGCAGCAUGGAAAGCAGCUUUACUAGCCAAGGUUUUCUGUGGAGCUGGGAGUGCUCGGUGUUGCCUAUAGGCUAUGUCUCUGAGUACUACCAGCACAGCUAAGCUGUUACACCUUUGAUUUUGUUUUGCUUUUGACUU